UGCCCUCUGUGGUGUUGGCCAGUUGGCCUGAUAGAUACCUUGUCCCUAAUUAGUGACCUCGGGGUGGCAUAUCUGGAUGCUGUUGUGCAUGUUCGCCCAAGUGCGAAAAGCCUGAAGCUCAGAGAGCCGUCCCACUUGAACCUUUGGUUCAAGGUAAUCAGGUCCACAGCGGCAUCCACGGAGGGUUC
rnacentral:other from 1 species